AGGCCCAGAGAAAGAAGCAGGGUCUGAUCCGCAGCCUUUGUGGCAGCUGUUGAUCAGCCCUGGCCUCUCUCUUUCUCUCCG
rfam:Myotis brandtii contig240988, whole genome shotgun sequence.